AGGGUUUGAUCAUGGCUCAGGAUGAACGCUAGCGGCAGGCUUAACACAUGCAAGUCGAGGGGUAACAGGAGUAGCUUGCUAUUUGCUGACGACCGGCGCACGGGUGCGUAACGCGUAUAGAAUCUACCUUAUACUGGGGGAUAGCCUUUGGAAACGAAGAUUAAUACCCCAUAGUAUUAUUUUUUGGCAUCAUUAAAUAAUUAAAGUUUCGGCGGUAUAAGAUGACUAUGCGUUCUAUUAGUUAGUUGGUAAGGUAACGGCUUACCAAGACUUCGAUAGAUAGGGGUCCUGAGAGGGAGAUCCCCCACACUGGUACUGAGACACGGACCAGACUCCUACGGGAGGCAGCAGUGAGGAAUAUUGGACAAUGGAGGCAACUCUGAUCCAGCCAUGCCGCGUGUAGGAAGACUGCCCUAUGGGUUGUAAACUACUUUUAUAUGGGAAGAAUAAGGUCUACGUGUAGAUUGAUGACGGUACCAUAAGAAUAAGCACCGGCUAACUCCGUGCCAGCAGCCGCGGUAAUACGGAGGGUGCAAGCGUUAUCCGGAAUCAUUGGGUUUAAAGGGUCCGUAGGCGGGCGUAUAAGUCAGUGGUGAAAGUCUGUGGCUUAACCAUAGAAUUGCCAUUGAUACUGUAUGUCUUGAAUUAUUGUGAAGUGGUUAGAAUAUGUAGUGUAGCGGUGAAAUGCUUAGAGAUUACAUAGAAUACCGAUUGCGAAGGCAGAUCACUAACAAUAUAUUGACGCUGACGGACGAAAGCGUAGGUAGCGAACAGGAUUAGAUACCCUGGUAGUCUACGCCGUAAACGAUGGAUACUAGUUGUUUGGUUUUCGGACUGAGUGACUAAGCGAAAGUGAUAAGUAUCCCACCCGGGGAGUACGUUCGCAAGAAUGAAACUCAAAGGAAUUGACGGGGGCCCGCACAAGCGGUGGAGCAUGUG
rnacentral:rRNA from 1 species